AUGGCCUGGACCCCCCUCCUCCUCGGCCUCCUGGCUCACUGCACAGGCGCUGCGUCCUCCUACGAGCUGACUCAGUCACCCUCGGUGUCAGUGUCCCCGGGACAGACGGGCAGGAUCACGUGUUGGGGGAGCAGCAUUGGAAGUGAAAAUGUUCAGUGGUACCAGCAAAAGCUAGACCAGACCCCUGAGCUGGUCAUUUAUCAAGAUAGUAAGCAGUACUCAGGGAUCCCUGACCGGCUCUCUGGCUCCAGCUUAGGGAGCAUGGCCACGCUGACCAUCAGUGGGAUCCGGGCCGAGGACCAGGCCGACUAUCACUGUCAGUCGCGUGACUGCAGUUAAAACCCUCACAGUGACACAGGCCGGCGGGGAAGGGAAACACACACCCCCUGCCUGGCCCGGCGCUCCGGCCUCCUCUGAGCAGCUGCAGUUUGCGACUCCUCUUGGGAGAUAUUAUUACCAAUCUUGCAGAUAGAAGGAAUUACAGGACAAUGCUCUCAAAAUUGUAAACCAACAAUUAGAGGACCAACCAACAAUUGUAUAUCAACACAUCAGACGACUUGCAUAAAGUGGACAAACUUACAGACACAAACAAGGUAUCAAACUGACUCAAAAAGGAAGAGGAACUGUGAGGAGACAUCUAAUGAGAGCUUAAAUCCAUAAUUAGAAACCUCUGGGGAAUGUCCCUGGUGGUCCAGCAGUGAAGGAUCCACCUGGCAACGCGGGGAACACCGGUUGACUGACCCGCGAUCUGGGAGCAAAACUCAUCCUGAGAGGCUGCUGAACCUGUGCCCACGGCUGCUGAGCCCACGGGCCACAACCACGCCAGUCUGAGCGCCAUAGAGCCCGUGGUCUGCAACGAGAGGAGCCCCCACUGGCCACAGCUAGAGAAAGCCCACACACAGCAAGA